rnacentral:lncRNA from 1 species
UCUGUGUCUGCCUCUGAAUCAGGGUCUGUUUGGGCAAACGGAUCCUCUGCAGCAAUCUGAACUUCAGGUUCAGACUUGAAAAACGUUUUUGUCCGGUCAGACGGAGAAAUUUUCGAGCCUUCCAGACCUUGCAGCUUCCUCGUCGUGGCCUCCUUCCUCAAUCUCUUCGCGGUUUUCUCGAUCUCAAAAUCGUAGAGGAGAUUCGGCUUAGAAGAUCUGCUCAUAAACCAAAAAGAAAAAAAAAUAGAUCAAAAGGGAAAAGAAUUCAAUUAACACCGCUCCCCGGCAACGGCGCCAAUUUGGUGGACGUCGUAUACCACCAAAUAAUUCCUGCAGAAUUAUCAAAAUAAAUUAGUAUGAUGAUAAGCAGGGUCGAUCCCA